rnacentral:rRNA from 3 species
CUUAAUUGGGCGUUAAGUUGCAGGGUAUAGACCCGAAACCCGGUGAUCUAGCCAUGGGCAGGUUGAAGGUUGGGUAACACUAACUGGAGGACCGAACCGACUAAUGUUGAAAAAUUAGCGGAUGACCUGUGGCUGGGGGUGAAAGGCCAAUCAAACCGGGAGAUAGCUGGUUCUCCCCGAAAGCUAUUUAGGUAGCGCCUCGUGAAUUCAUCUCCGGGGGUAGAGCACUGUUUCGGCUAGGGGGCCAUCCCGGCUUACCAACCCGAUGCAAACUGCGAAUACCGGAGAAUGUUAUCACGGGAGACACACGGCGGGUGCUAACGUCCGUCGUGAAGAGGGAAACAACCCAGACCGCCAGCUAAGGUCCCAAAGUCAUGGUUAAGUGGGAAACGAUGUGGGAAGGCCCAGACAGCCAGGAUGUUGGCUUAGAAGCAGCCAUCAUUUAAAGAAAGCGUAAUAGCUCACUGGUCGAGUCGGCCUGCGCGGAAGAUGUAACGGGGCUAAACCAUGCACCGAAGCUGCGGCAGCGACACUGUGUGUUGUUGGGUAGGGGAGCGUUCUGUAAGCCUGUGAAGGUGUGUCGUGAGGCAUGCUGGAGGUAUCAGAAGUGCGAAUGCUGACAUAAGUAACGAUAAAGCGGGUGAAAAGCCCGCUCGCCGGAAGACCAAGGGUUCCUGUCCAACGUUAAUCGGGGCAGGGUGAGUCGACCCCUAAGGCGAGGCCGAAAGGCGUAGUCGAUGGGAAACGGGUUAAUAUUCCCGUACUUGGUGUUACUGCGAAGGGGGGACGGAGAAGGCUAUGUUGGCCGGGCGACGGUUGUCCCGGUUUAAGCGUGUAGGUGUGUGUUCCAGGUAAAUCCGGUUCACUUUAACACUGAGGCGUGACGACGAGGCACUACGGUGCUGAAGCAACAAAUGCCCUGCUUCCAGGAAAAGCCUCUAAGCAUCAGGUAACAUCAAAUCGUACCCCAAACCGACACAGGUGGUCAGGUAGAGAAUACCAAGGCGCUUGAGAGAACUCGGGUGAAGGAACUAGGCAAAAUGGUGCCGUAACUUCGGGAGAAGGCACGCUGACACGUAGGUGAAGUGAUUUACUCAUGGAGCUGAAGUCAGUCGAAGAUACCAGCUGGCUGCAACUGUUUAUUAAAAACACAGCACUGUGCAAACACGAAAGUGGACGUAUACGGUGUGACGCCUGCCCGGUGCCGGAAGGUUAAUUGAUGGGGUCAGCGCAAGCGAAGCUCCUGAUCGAAGCCCCGGUAAACGGCGGCCGUAACUAUAACGGUCCUAAGGUAGCGAAAUUCCUUGUCGGGUAAGUUCCGACCUGCACGAAUGGCGUAAUGAUGGCCAGGCUGUCUCCACCCGAGACUCAGUGAAAUUGAACUCGCUGUGAAGAUGCAGUGUACCCGCGGCAAGACGGAAAGACCCCGUGAACCUUUACUAUAGCUUGACACUGAACAUUGAGCCUUGAUGUGUAGGAUAGGUGGGAGGCUUUGAAGUGUGGACGCCAGUCUGCAUGGAGCCGACCUUGAAAUACCACCCUUUAAUGUUUGAUGUUCUAACGUGGACCCGUUACCCGGGUUGCGGACAGUGUCUGGUGGGUAGUUUGACUGGGGCGGUCUCCUCCUAAAGAGUAACGGAGGAGCACGAAGGUUGGCUAAUCCUGGUCGGACAUCAGGAGGUUAGUGCAAUGGCAUAAGCCAGCUUGACUGCGAGCGUGACGGCGCGAGCAGGUGCGAAAGCAGGUCAUAGUGAUCCGGUGGUUCUGAAUGGAAGGGCCAUCGCUCAACGGAUAAAAGGUACUCCGGGGAUAACAGGCUGAUACCGCCCAAGAGUUCAUAUCGACGGCGGUGUUUGGCACCUCGAUGUCGGCUCAUCACAUCCUGGGGCUGAAGUAGGUCCCAAGGGUAUGGCUGUUCGCCAUUUAAAGUGGUACGCGAGCUGGGUUUAGAACGUCGUGAGACAGUUCGGUCCCUAUCUGCCGUGGGCGCUGGAGAACUGAGGGGGGCUGCUCCUAGUACGAGAGGACCGGAGUGGACGCAUCACUGGUGUUCGGGUUGUCAUGCCAAUGGCACUGCCCGGUAGCUAAAUGCGGAAGAGAUAAGUGCUGAAAGCAUCUAAGCACGAAACUUGCCCCGAG